rnacentral:rRNA from 1 species
UACGUAGGGUGCUAGCGUUGUUCGGAAUCAUUGGGCGUAAAGCGCGUGUAGGCGGUUCGUUAAGUCCGUUGUGAAAGCCCUGGGCUCAACCUGGGAAUGGCAGUGGAUACUGGCGAGCUAGAGUGUGAUAGAGGAUGGUGGAAUUCCCGGUGUAGCGGUGAAAUGCGUAGAGAUCGGGAGGAACACCAGUGGCGAAGGCGGCCAUCUGGAUCAACACUGACGCUGAGGCACGAAAGCGUGGGGAGCAAACAGG